CUGGAGUUGACAGACAAUUUCCGCACGUGCCAGGCGUGGGAUGACCAACCGAUCCCCAGAUAAAACCAGGUCACCCUCAACCCGCAAAGACGAGAACACUCCCGCAAACGGUGUCAAACUUGAUGGAAGGUCUGCGGGAUUGAUCCCACUCCGAACCUUGUCUCGGAGAAGUACAUACUCCUCAUCAAUACCCUCCAUAACGAUUUUGAGAGCCAGGUUGUUGAUGUUAACCACCCAAACUGCAAUCUCCAUUGAGGGAUCCGGUGGGAACAAAGGCACCCGGCUGAGCUCAUCUGCGAUGAGAUGGCGUUUGCCCGCAUUCCAAUCCAACGAAAAUGAGUAGAUCUCAAGCCUCUCGCGAAUCCGUUGGAGUCGCGCAUUUACCAACGAAGCAAGGGGCUUAUCAUUGAUCCCAGGGGCGGCUUGUGGUCCGUGAUGACGACAAAGACCGGCAUUCCGCGGAGGUAAUGGCCGCACUUUUUGACGGCCCAGAGGAUGGCCGAGGCCUCCAACUCGAUCGUCGCAUAAUUUUUCUGGGUCGGCGAAAGGGAGCAAGACCCACACUGUAUAAGGCGAAAAACACCAGAAAUCUCAUGUUGAAUGAGGGCAAAUCCAAACCCAAAGUCCCGCAAAGCAUCUGUCAUUAGCUCGGUUUUGAGCUGAAUGUCGAAUGGCUUGACCAAUGCCGGCGAGGUCAAGACCACACGGGCCUGCUAAAAUUCGGCUUCAUGUUCCUUGGUCCACAAGAACGCCACGUUUUUCUUCAAAAGCGAUCUCAGCUUUUCCGUUGCGUGUGAGAGAUCCGGCAAGAACGUGGUGAGGGUGUUGAGAAGCCCAAAGAAAGAUCUAAGUUCCGUGAUCGAAGUUGGUCAUGGGAACUCGCGAAUGGCAGCUAAUUUCGCAGGGUCCGGUCGGACCCCAUCCUUGGAGACAACGAAUCCCGCAAACUUCAGCAAUUGCCCCACUUCCAUCUUCUCAAGCGACAACUUAAUGCCAGGAGCGCAACACCGAAGUAGAACCAUACGGAGUCUGCGGAAUGCAUGUUCGAUGGUGUCCCCUUGUACCAGCAUGUCAUCGAUGAUCUUCAGAAGCCAGGUGAGUAGGUCCCAAACAGCGUCGUCAGUCUUGAUGUUAAACUCAUCACUGCUCGAAUUUAACCCCAUAGGUGUACCCCAACAGUGUACCACCGUUUUCUGUCGGGCAGCAAGAAAGCGAUUAGCAGUGAUGAUUCCUCGUCCAACAGGAUCUGAUAGUAACCAUGGACAAGUUUGAUGAACCAUUGUGAAGACGGGUUGAUCUUCAUCAGGUCAGUUGCGGACGGAAAUGGCCUAACAGGUCUUCUUGUUGCCUUAUUCAGCUGCCUGUAAUCCGUUACCAACCUCACCUUUUUACCUCCCGGCUUUGGCACGAAAUGAGCUGGAGAUACCCAAGUGGUCGGCUGGUUGCAACGAACGACGGCUCCCGCCGUUUUGAGCUCCUUCAUCAGGGCAUCCGCUUGAGGGCGGAGAUGAAUGGGGACUUGCCUAGACGUGGUGACAUGGAUUGGCUUAACUCCACACGAAUCGUCCAACUCAAUCCGCAUUUUCGGUCCCUUGAUAGAACCACCCACUUGACCCAACGUUGUACAGAAUGUUGAGUCAAAUUCAGCCUUAAUUUCCUCUUUGAGUCUUUUCACGAAUAUUUCAUCGGUUUCAUCCAGACACCGCUCAAAGUUGCCCCCAUCGUCGUCGUAAAAUUUCGGGAACUUCUCGUCGAACUUCCCGAUUGAUGCAAGGAAAGCCACAUCGUUGUCAGUCUCUCCAAUCAAGCACCGAAAUGACUCGUCAUUUUUGACCUUGACGCAUUGGUGAAUAUCUUCGUCAAUGGUAUUGUUCGUCUCAUAUCGACCAUGCUCCGCUUCUUGAACCCCUGAAAUCUUGGUUGGCUUGACUGAGAGCAAUUCACGAUUGAGGAGCGGAAAAUUUUUAGGCAAAAUCCCCAAAGCCACGCAAUCUUGCCAUCCGAUAAAUGGUGGACCAGUGAGAUCGGGAGAGACAUAGAUCGUGAUGUCUCGGCGUGGUCCCAAAAAGCCAUCUCCUUCCUGCACUACAGAUGAGAUUGUCAAGACCCCCGACUGCCCAUCUUUGUGCCACUUGCCGAGACCAGAGCGACCAUUUUCGAGGCUGGCUCUAGAACGACAUCAUUGGGGAUGAGGUGCGGCAGGAAGACCGUGACAACUGCCCCAGAAUCUGGUACGACCUGGACCGGAAAAUUCCCGAGCAGUAUGGUUGUCCUAGGCGUCGUUGAGGAUGGGUUGACCACGCAUAUCUUACCCUCAACUUCAUCUGCUGCUUGGAACCGUCCGAUAUGCCCAAGUCUGCCACACUCGUAACACCUCAUAUGCCUGGCGCGGCAAGAACCAGCCGGAUGUUCCAAACCCCCGCACUUGAAACACGUGGCUCUUGGACCCACCGUGGUAUUGCUGUGAUCCUCAUUUGCAGUCUCAAUUGCGUGUACCAUUGUUGUCGCAGCUCAGACAUUUCUUGCGCUUUUGAACGCCGUUGCAGCUUCAAUGACGUCUGAUAAUGUUGGUUUCUUCAAUUUCAGAAUUUCCAGCAUCAUGUCUGGAUGCACGCGGCUCAUGUGGAUCGCCUUGAACAUAUACCAGUCGUCAGUGGUCUAUUUGGACAAUUCGGCUUCUUCGCCAACCUUUUGUAAAUCGGUUAUGGCGUCCCUCAUGGAUUGACCUGGCUGGAGUUCCGCCUUGUGCCAUUGCCAAUGUCGUUGAAAAAGUGGAUUAAUUUCCAAAAAUCUCCCCUCCAAAAGUCGGACACAGUCGGAGAUUGUUGAAGAAGGAGAAACACCCAAGUCCAUGUAGCCCGCCAAAGCUACAUCUAAGUGUGCGGUGAAGAAAGAGUGUUGUUGAGUCAGAUCAAUCGUGUCCAUAUUGGAGGCCAUGAACUUUUUGACCCAAACUCUCAUCUCGGGUGGUGUCGCCAUACUCGAGAGAGUGUUCGGACGCAGCUCGACCUGCUCCCUCAACGUUCUGGUUGCCGUCCCUUGUCGUUGCAGCAUCGAUGUUGACGGCCCGCGUAGUGCGGCGCUUUGCACCCUUCCCUCCAUUUCCGCCAACGUUGCCAUGUCCUUCUUGGCUGCCGCGAGAAUCUCUGGCGAUCCGUCCAUUGUCUUCAGAUCCUCGUAUAGCUCACCCAUGGUCUCCACACGCGUCGUGAAGCCGUCAUCUUGUCGUCCUUGAAAUUCCUCUAGUUCCUGGAAAGACAAUCGCACUAGAUGGGGCAGUCUCUCCACUGACCCAACUUGGUCCAGGAGGAGACAGUCAAGAACCUCGCGUCGGAACUGACCUCAACGAACUCGGCGCGCUUCGCCGGCAAAAUUACCCCAUGGGAGCGGGUCCGUGAAUUCCCGUUGGACGCAGUCAACGGGAAACGUAUACCGUCUGUGCCAUGUUGUAUCCGGAAAGAAGAUUUGACGGAGACGUUUCCGAUUUGCAAGUCAGAACAUAGUGAGCUUUAUUGGCCAGCUGAGAGGUCAUGGAAAGUGGAAGAAUGAGAUGGAAGGUUAGGGUAUAGUACAAACACAUUGAGCAUUAACAAUUCGAUAGACGGACAAU